UAGUUUUGUCCUAAGUCAAACUUCUUAAAGUUUGACCAAGUUCAUGGAAAAAUGUACUAACAUCUACAAUAUUAAAUAAGUAUACUACGAAGAUAUAUAUCAUGACUGAUUUAAUAGAAGUAAUUUAGAGUUGUAGAUGUUGGUAGAUUUUUCUAUAAACUUAGUCAAACUUUAAGAUGUUUGACUUAGGACAAAACUAG
rfam:Brachypodium distachyon strain Bd21 chromosome 1, whole genome shotgun sequence.